rnacentral:tRNA from 1 species
GAUUCGCUUGCUCAGCAGGUUGCAUUUGAAAGUCGAGCCGUAGGCGAAGGCUUUUAAAUGCCCUGAGAGACAACACUUUUAAUGUUGGGGUCUUGGGUUCGAGCCCCAAGCGGAUCACCA